rnacentral:sRNA from 1 species
GGAUGUGAACGUGACCUGACUGUAAGCCUCCACUUCUCACUGAUAACCAAGGUUUAUACUUUUGAUCUGAUGAGCUGCACUGGGCUUCUCCUUCCUCCUUUACUUUUCCAGGAAGGUCCCUCCUGAAGUUCCACUGCUGACAGUAAAAGGUGACCUUCUCAGGUACAGGAGGCUGUUCCUUGAAGGGGAGAAGCAGCGGUGGGGCUCUUGGACACAGGGCUUGGGAGAGAACCAUCUCCCCGAAGCUCCAACUGACCACUCUAUUUGCAAAUGGCAUCUCCCUGU